AUUGAACGCUGGCGGCAGGCUUAACACAUGCAAGUCGAGCGAGCGGCGGACGGGUGAGUAAUGUCUGGGAACCUGCCUGAUGGAGGGGGAUAACUACUGGAAACGGUAGCUAAUACCGCAUACCAUCAGAUGUGCCCAGAUGGGAUUAGCUAGUAGGUGGGGUAAUGGCUCACCUAGGCGACGAUCCCUAGCUGGUCUGAGAGGAUGACCAGCCAAACUGGAACUGAGACACGGUCCAGACGCCUACGGGAGGCAGGAGUGGGGAAUAUUGCACAAGGGGCGCAAGCCUGAUGCAGCCAUGCCGCGUGUGUGAAGAAGGACUUCGGGUUGUAAAGCACUUUCAGCGAGGAGGCGUUACUCGCAGAAGAAGCACCGGCUAACUCCGUGCCAGCAGCCGCGGUAAUUC
rnacentral:rRNA from 1 species